rnacentral:tRNA from 1 species
UGGCACAAAGGUUAAGUGUUCGGCUGCUAACCGAAAGGUCGGUGGUUCAAACCCAUC